CUAGAAGUUGGCUGAACGCAUCGAAGAAUAGGAAAAGAGAAAGGAAUAACAACAGAAAACGAGAAAAGCCAACAUUAAGAAAAAGAAAACUGAGAAGAAAGAACAUAAACUGAAUGAACGCCUCACACUUAACAGAGGAAAAGCUGGAAUUGUCUGAUAAGGCAACGAAAAUCCAAUUUAAACGGAAGUUAGAGGGAAUGAAGAAGAAAUUAAAAAGAAAAAGUAAGAAGAAGAGGUCCUGAAUUGCCAAACAUGCUCGAGCCACCAAGGCAGUAUCUGUGUCAUCAACCUCUGGUCUUUCAGAGUUUGUUAAAACAGAAAUUCCUCAACCAAGACUAGCAAGUACACUGGCAACACCAAUUUUUAACAGUGAAGGCUGCCUAGUUUCCAGCAAAUUUGAUUUUGGAGAACUAUCUAAUUCCUCACCCAUUCUGAAAAAGACCACUUUAUAUCCAGAAGUGGCAACGAUUAAAAUGAAAGAAAAUAAAACUUAAACCAAAAAUGAAUAUCUUGGUAGGCCAAGCUGAAGCUGAGAAUGCAAGAAGCAUUGAAUAGAAACAGGCAUGAAAUGGUGCUCUGCAAAUAGCUGAAGGUUUUCAGGUAAAAGACUAUGUGGAAUUGCUUGCCAAAUCAAUUAAUGAACGAGAUCAAAUCAGAAAGUAACAUAAAUUGCGCUGAACGAAUCGAAGAAAAGGAAAAGAGAAAGGAAUAACAACAGAAAAAGAGAAAAGCCAACAUUAAGAAAAAUAAAACUGAAAAGAAAGAACAUAAAGUGAAUAAACUAAAGAAAAAAGGCAAAUUUACCGUAUGAAAGACUGAUACUGACUCAUGGAUGAGCUAAACUCUUGUUCUUUCAUGUGCAGCCAUGUCGUGAUAGUUUUAUAGAAAAAUACACUGGCAUGCCUUCCAUGAUCGUGGAAAAUUUGAAGAAAAAAUAUCUUAGAUUCAUUUAAAAAGGUUUAGUGUCUUCACUAAUAACAGACUCU